rnacentral:rRNA from 1 species
UAGUCAUAUGCUUGUCUCAAAGAUUAAGCCAUGCAUGUCUAAGUACAUGCCGUAUUAAGGCGAAACCGCGAAUGGCUCAUUAAAUCAGUUAUGGUUCCUUGGAUCGUACAUUCCUACUUGGAUAACUGUGGUAAUUCUAGAGCUAAUACAUGCAGCAGAGCUCCGACCUUCGGGGACGAGCGCUUUUAUUAGACCAAAACCAAUCGGACUCCGUCCGUCUCUCGUGGUGACUCUGAAUAACUUUGGGCUGAUCGCACGGGCCCGUCCCGGCGACGUAUCUUUCAAGUGUCUGCCUUAUCAACUUUCGAUGGUAGGUUAUGCGCCUACCAUGGUCGUAACGGGUAACGGGGAAUCAGGGUUCGAUUCCGGAGAGGGAGCCUGAGAAAUGGCUACCACAUCCAAGGAAGGCAGCAGGCGCGCAAAUUACCCACUCCCAGAACGGGGAGGUAGUGACGAAAAAUAACAAUACGGGACUCUUUUGAGACCCCGUAAUUGGAAUGAGUACACUCUAAAUCCUUUAACGAGGAUCCAUUGGAGGGCAAGUCUGGUGCCAGCCGCCGCGGUAACUCCAGCUCCAAUAGCGUAUAUUAAAGUUGUUGCGGUUAAAAAGCUCGUAGUUGGAUCUCAGUUCCAGACGGGUGGUCCGCCUACCGGUGGUUACUGCCUGUUCUGAACAGCCAGCCGGUUUCUCUUGAUGAUCUUCACCGGUUGUCUUGGGUGACCGGCAAGUUUACUUUGAAAAAAUUAGAGUGCUCAAAGCAGGCGCGACGCCUGAAUAAUGGUGCAUGGAAUAAUGGAAUAGGACCUCGGUUCUAUUUUGUUGGUUUUCGGAACACGAGGUAAUGAUUAAGAGGGACAGACGGGGGGCAUUCGUAUUGCGACGCUAGAGGUGAAAUUCUUGGACCGUCGCAGGACGAAC